rnacentral:lncRNA from 1 species
GAAUAUUUGCAGUGCCCCAAAAGUUUCCUUAGGCCCUUUCCAGUUAGCAUCACCCUCAGCAUCAAGAACACUGCCUGGCAUACAAUGGACACUCAAUCAAUAUUUGUUGAAAGAAAGAACAAUGGAAUGAAUGGUUGUAUUAACCAUCAUAUCUGGUGACAAACAAAACUUGACCAGGUGACAGUACGAAGACUCACAGUAGUGGGGAAGUCCUGUCCUCAAGUCCAUGCAGCUCAGGAGUGGGAGAACUUGGAUCUGAGUGAGCCCUGAUUGUCGCCUUGAGGACCACUGUAUUUUCAGAGCCUUGCCUUGCUUCUCAGAGGUGAGAGCCACCUCCAUUUCAACACGGCCAUUGCUGGAGCUGAGGCAGCCUCCUAGCGCCCCAAGCAGGACAGAUGCUCUUUGGC